rnacentral:rRNA from 1 species
AUGGUGAACCAGCGGAGGGAUCAUUACCGAGUUUACAACUCCCAAACCCCUGUGAACAUACGUUAAUGUUGCCUCGGCGGAUCAGCCCGCGCCCCGUAAAACGGGACGGCCCGCCAGAGGACCCAAACUCUAAUGUUUCUUAUUGUAACUUCUGAGUAAAACAAACAAAUAAAUCAAAACUGUCAACAAGGGAUGUAUUGGUUCUGGCACAGACGAAGAACGCAGCAAAACACGAUAAGUAAUGUGAAUUGCAGAAUUCAGUGAAUCAUCGAAUCUUUGAACGCACCUUGCGCCCGCUGGUAUUCCGGCGGGCAUGCCUGUUCGAGGGUCCUUUCAACCCUCAAGCCCCCGGGUUGGGUGUUGGGGAUCGGUUCUUCCUUCUGGCCGUGCCGCCCCCGAAAUACAUGGGCGGUCUCGCGGCAGCNUCCAUUGUGUAGUAGCUAACACCUUGCAACUGGAACGACGCGCGGCCAUGCCGUAAAACCCCAAGUUUUGAAUGNNGACCUAAGAUCAGU